UACAGAGGGUGCGAGCGUUGUCCGGAAUCACUGGGCGUAAAGGGCGCGUAGGUGGUGGCUUAAGCGUGCGGUGAAAGCUCGGGGCUCAACUCCGAGUCGGCCGUGCGAACUGGGCUCACUGGAGCAUAGUAGAGGCAGGUGGAAUUCCGGGUGUAGCGGUGGAAUGCGUAGAGAUCCGGAAGAACACCGGUGGCGAAGGCGGCGACCUGGUCCAUUACUGACGCUGAGGCGCGACAGCGUGGGGAGCAAACAGG
rnacentral:rRNA from 1 species